rnacentral:misc_RNA from 1 species
AAUCUACAUGCCACGCUGGCCCCAAGCUUGGGCCAGAGCGGUGUUUUGGGCCCGUGUGUCGCGUGUGUUGGGCGCAUGCCCUCCCUCGCGUGGCCUUGAAGAAAUUGACAUCCGUCGUUGGGCGUGAGAUCCGUUAGGACCCCGUGAGCCCUGUGGAUGGAUGGGACGUGAGCCGCGGUGUGCAGCCGCGCUGAAC